UUCAUGUCUUUUGUAUUAAAGAAUUAAAUGGAUGAAAUAUGAAGUUUUAUUAAAAGAAAAAGGGGUGAAAAGAACAAAGUUUUGUCCAUCUUUGUUCAUCAUAGCUGAAAGUUAGAGAAGAGAAAGGAGAGGAGAAAGCUCUUGAGUAUUCGGUCAUUAAGAGGAGGAAAAUUGAAGGCAGUUCGUGUGUGGAUCUCGUCAGCAUAUCGUCGCAAACAGGAAAUCCCCAACCAUAGUGGGCUUGGAGCUGUGAGGGAAUUCGGAGUGGCCACCCGUUCUGAAAGUUUGAUUUUCUUCUGGUGAACUGGACAUCCUUUUAAUUACGUUUGAGGUUUUGGGCUUUUAAAUAUAAUAAGGCCGCUUAAUUAUUUUUGAUGGUUUUAAUAUGUAUUACUAAGAUAGGUAAUACUUAUUUUAACUGUUGAAAUUGGAUAGCUUUAGGGCGCGUUUUCAAAAACAACAAUUGAUUUCAAAAUAACACGACAACAAGCAAAGCUUCCGCAAUGAAA